rnacentral:lncRNA from 1 species
CUCGUCGGGGAGGCUCAGGCUGCGCAGGCGCCCACCGCGGGGAGGCGGGGCGGGGAGACUGAGGCAUGGCGGGAUGCAGGUCCCAAGCCCUUCCCCGCGGGGAGGCAGCUAAGGCCCGGCAAGAAAUCGAGCACAGCAGCUGCUAGCGCAGGUGCUAAGCCCCUCACUGCCCGGGGCUUGCGGGCCGGCCUGCUGCUCCGAGUGCUGGGCCAGCCGAGCCCACGCCCCCCCGGAACUGGCGCUGGCCCGCAAGCGCCGCGCGCAGCCCCAGUUUCCGCCCGCGCCUCUCCCUCCACGCCUCCUCGCAAGCUGAGGGAGUCGGCUCCGGCCUUGGCCAGCCCAGAAAGGGGCUCCCACAGUGCAACGGUGGGCUGAAGGGCCAGAGUGGGCGCCAAGGGCGAGGAGGCGCCGAGAGCGAGUGGGGGCUGCCAGCACGGUGUCACCUCUCACCAGUAGUUGUGAUUUUUGCUGUCACCCCCAUGGAUUAUGAAUUCACUUUGUCUGGGUAACAGUGGAAACCCUCGGAAGUUGUUUCCACUGUUUCAUCUAAAAGAAGUCGCCAAAACGAAGUUUUCUCAGUGCCAAAGCAUGGACUCAGCGCAUCAAUUGCCUUCUUGCCCCCAUGGUUUCUUCUGGGAAAACCCACCGUUAAUCUUAUUGAGGAUCUCUCUGACUGGCAAUGUUUGGGAUUGCAGAGGCUCCAGUAGCCUGGGAAGAGAGCAGUUUAAGAAUUUUACCUAAAGUCACCGUGCAAGGGGGAUGAGCUCCAGGGACUGUCAUUUUUCACAGGUCACCCUAAAGAAAUAGAACCAGAAGAUUGCAGAAUUGCGGCCUUCGAUUCUCCUCUCUAAGUAGACUGAGUACACUUGAAGACAACAAUAUGGGCAUUCAUUAGAUGGAAUUUGGAAGACAAAGCUGAGGUUAAAAAUUACAUUUCUUUUGACUAAACUUAGGCAGGACAUUUAGUCUAGCGUUCACCACAGGUCUCAUUGGUCCCUACUACCUGUACCAGACUUUCCACAGGCACACUAUAUGCGUGGCCAUUAAGGUUUUUAGUUUGCAUUCCCAGGAAUAAAUUGAUUUCUCACUUUGAUAACAUGCUGUGCUACUUCUGGCUUUUACAUUAAAACCCUUAGAGGAUGAUAAGUAUGGUUACAGAACACAUUGUCUGAGUUUCAGAUCUGGCUUAUUCACUUAAUAAAUGCUAUAGUUUGGAUAUUCAUCCACCCCCCGAUAUCUCGCAUUGAAAUUUAAUCCUCAUUGAUGGAAAUGAGGCCUAAUUGGAGCUGUUUGGGUCAUGUGGGUGGAUUCCUCAUGAAUGGCUUGACAUCGUCCUCAAAGUAAUGAGCGAGUUCUUGCUCUGUUAGUUCCCAUGAGAGCUGGUUGUUAAGAAGAGCCUGGCACCUCCACUCUCUUUCUCUUGCUUCCUAUCUCACCGUGUGAUCUCUGCACAGUUGACCCCACUUUGUCUUCUGCCAUGAGUAGAAGCAGCCUGAGUCCCUCAACAGAAGCCAAGCAGAUGCUGGCACCAUGCUUCUUGUACAGCCUACACAACAUGAGCCAAAUAAAGCUAUUUUCUUUAUAAAUUACCCAGCCUCAGGUAAUCCUUGAAAGCAAUACUAAAUGGACUAAAACAGUAACUAUGUGACUACUUUAUACCAG